AUGCUACGAUUAGUGUUCAGAUCGGUGGCCAUCACAGAGCGUGCCGACCGACCUGCAAUCGCCAACCACGACUACCCCCGGUUGCGACCCGACUGUCCGACCACAAAUUCGCGCAAUAAUCAACCAGAGACAUCCCCACCGACGCUUCAGCCCUUGACAACACACGACUCCGCCGCCCGGUUACCAUCACCGACUUGUAUUUUGUUAUUCCUUUUUGAUUUUUGUGAUUGA